rnacentral:rRNA from 1 species
GACGAACGCUGGCGGCGUGCUUAACACAUGCAAGUCGAACGGUAAGGCCCUUCGGGGUACACGAGUGGCGAACGGGUGAGUAACACGUGGGUGAUCUGCCCUGCACUUCGGGAUAAGCCUGGGAAACUGGGUCUAAUACCGGAUAGGACCACUGCCUGCAUGGGUGGUGGUGGAAAGCUUUUGCGGUGUGGGAUGGGCCCGCGGCCUAUCAGCUUGUUGGUGGGGUGAUGGCCUACCAAGGCGACGACGGGUAGCCGGCCUGAGAGGGUGACCGGCCACACUGGGACUGGGAUACGACCCAGACUGCUACGGGAGGCAGCAGUGGGGAAUAUUGCACAAUGGGCGAAAGCCUGAUGCAGCGACGCCGCGUGAGGGAUGACGGCCUUCGGGUUGUAAACCUCUUUCAGCACCGACGAAGCGCAAGUGACGGUAGGUGCAGAAGAAGGACCGGCCAACUACGUGCCAGCCGCCGCGGUAA